rnacentral:lncRNA from 1 species
ACUUUAUUUUGUUUAAUGAAUGGGGGAACACGAACAAAGGAUGGACGUGUACGUGUACGUGUACGUGUAUGUGUAUGUGGACGUUUAUAGUCUACUCCUGCUGCAGAGUUUCUAUGUGUCCAGCUCCUCGAAAUAACGUAGAGCUCUGUGCAAUAAAUUAUGACCAUGGACAGCUUCGGCAGCGAGCUACAGGCGCUACAGUCUCCGUCUCCGUCCCUUUU